rnacentral:rRNA from 1 species
AUUGAACGCUGGCGGCAGGCCUAACACAUGCAAGUCGAGCGAGCGGCGGACGGGUGAGUAAUGUAUGGGGACUGCCCGCUAGAGGGGGAUAACUACUGGCAACGGUGGCUAAUACCGCAUACUAUCGGAUAACCCAUAUGGGAUUAGCUAUUCGGUGGGGUAAAGGCUCACCUCGGCGACGAUCUCUAGCUGGUCUGAGAGGAUGAUCAGCCACACUGGUACUAAGACACGACCCAGACUCCUACGGCGGCAGCAGUGGGGAAUAUUGCACAAUGGGCGCAAGCCUGCUGCAGCCAUGCCGCGUGUAUGAAGAAGGCCUUAGGGUUGUAAAGUACUUUCAGCGGGGAGGCGUUGCCCGCAGAAGAAGCACCGGCUAACUCCGUGCCAGCAGCCGCGGUAAUUC